GGCAACAGCUCAAAUUUGAAAUCUGGCUCUCGGGCCCGAGUUGUAAUUUGUAGAGGAUACUUUUGAUGCGGUGCCUUCCGAGUUCCCUGGAACGGGACGCCAUAGAGGGUGAGAGCCCCGUCUGGUUGGAUGCCAAAUCUCUGUAAAGUUCCUUCGAC
rnacentral:rRNA from 1 species